rnacentral:rRNA from 1 species
UGGGGAAUAUUGCACAAUGGGCGCAAGCCUGAUGCAGCCAUGCCGCGUGUAUGAAGAAGGCCUUCGGGUUGUAAAGUACUUUCAGCGGGGAGGAAGGCGGUGAGGUUAAUAACCUCAUCGAUUGACGUUACCCGCAGAAGAAGCACCGGCUAACUCCGUGCCAGCAGCCGCGGUAAUACGGAGGGUGCAAGCGUUAAUCGGAAUUACUGGGCGUAAAGCGCACGCAGGCGGUCUGUCAAGUCAGAUGUGAAAUCCCCGGGCUCAACCUGGGAACUGCAUCUGAUACUGGCAAGCUUGAGUCUCGUAGAGGGGGGUAGAAUUCCAGGUGUAGCGGUGAAAUGCGUAGAGAUCUGGAGGAAUACCGGUGGCGAAGGCGGCCCCCUGGACGAAGACUGACGCUCAGGUGCGAAAGCGUGGGGAGCAAACAGG